GAAUUGUUGUAUGUAAUCUAGAAUGUAAAAUCGUAAGAGUCCUUCCCUUGAAUAAUCAUUGUUUAUCACCAUUGGUGAAGAUUCAGAAAACCCCAGUUCGUUGUGUCUGAGCAGGGGAUGCCAAAUCAUUCUUUUUUGCCUACACGAUUAGCCAUGCUAGGUUAUUCUGUAUAUUAUGAUCUGUUAUUACUUUGAGCGGUGACAGGAGCGGCUGGGACGAAGUUGCAAAUAAGUCUAGUGCAUAGCAUAACUGCCUUUUUACAUGGUGCUAUGUUAAUAAAAGUUCUGUACUCAUGGCUGUGAC
rnacentral:sRNA from 1 species